GACGGAGGGUGCUAGCGUUGUUCGGAAUGACUGGGCGUAAAGGGCGCGUAGGCGGCUCGUGAAGUCGGGUGUGAAAGCCCCGGGCUCAACCCGGGAAGUGCACUUGAAACUGGGAGGCUAGAGUAUCGGAGAGGUUGGUGGAAUUCUCGGUGUAGAGGUGAAAUUCGUAGAUAUCGAGAGGAACACCGGUGGCGAAGGCGGCCAACUGGACGAAUGCUGACGCUGAGACUCGAAAAGCGUGGGGAGCAAACAGG
rnacentral:rRNA from 1 species